AUGAACGCUGGCGGCGUGCCUAAUACAUGCAAGUCGAGCGAACGGACGAGAAGCUUGCUUCUCUGAUGUUAGCGGCGGACGGGUGAGUAACACGUGGAUAACCUACCUAUAAGACUGGGAUAACUUCGGGAAACCGGAGCUAAUACCGGAUAAUAUUUUGAACCGCAUGGUUCAAAAGUGAAAGACGGUCUUGCUGUCACUUAUAGAUGGAUCCGCGCUGCAUUAGCUAGUUGGUAAGGUAACGGCUUACCAAGGCAACGAUGCAUAGCCGACCUGAGAGGGUGAUCGGCCACACUGGAACUGAGACACGGUCCAGACUCCUACGGGAGGCAGCAGUAGGGAAUCUUCCGCAAUGGGCGAAAGCCUGACGGAGCAACGCCGCGUGAGUGAUGAAGGUCUUCGGAUCGUAAAACUCUGUUAUUAGGGAAGAACAUAUGUGUAAGUAACUAUGCACAUCUUGACGGUACCUAAUCAGAAAGCCACGGCUAACUACGUG
rnacentral:rRNA from 1 species